AAACUCUAUGACCAAGAACAAACUGUUUAACAGGACACUUUGGCCACAAUUAAAGAACCAUAGAACCGUGAAUAUAGUUGAAAGAGAAAGAGAUUUUCUCAGCCAGUUCAGCAGUUUCAUUUUACACAUGAACAAAUGAAGACCUGUAUUUGUUUGUGGCCACAUAAUUAGUAGAAGGCAAUAAGAAUUCCACCCAGAUGUGCUGAAUCACAAUU
rnacentral:lncRNA from 1 species